AAUAGCAAAAUAAGUGCAUUGAUUUUAAACAUCAAAUAUAAAGAUAAUUUUUAAUCUUUUUUUAUAA
rnacentral:tRNA from 1 species